rnacentral:rRNA from 1 species
AGUGAACGCUGGCGGUAGGCCUAACACAUGCAAGUCGAACGGCAGCACAGUAAGAGCUUGCUCUUACGGGUGGCGAGUGGCGGACGGGUGAGGAAUACAUCGGAAUCUACCUUUUCGUGGGGGAUAACGUAGGGAAACUUACGCUAAUACCGCAUACGACCUACGGGUGAAAGCAGGGGAUCUUCGGACCUUGCGCGAUUGAAUGAGCCGAUGUCGGAUUAGCUAGUUGGCGGGGUAAAGGCCCACCAAGGCGACGAUCCGUAGCUGGUCUGAGAGGAUGAUCAGCCACACUGGAACUGAGACACGGUCCAGACUCCUACGGGAGGCAGCAGUGGGGAAUAUUGGACAAGGGGCGCAAGCCUGAUCCAGCCAGACCGCGUGGGUGAAGAAGGCCUUCGGGUUGUAAAGCCCUUUUGUUGGGAAAGAAAAGCAGCAGGUUAAGACCCCGCUGUUCGGACGGUACCCAAAGAAUAAGCACCGGCUAACUUCGU